rnacentral:rRNA from 1 species
GUGACUGAGCGGCGGACGGGUGAGUAACGCGUGGGUAACCUGCCUCAUACAGGGGGAUAACAGUUAGAAAUGACUGCUAAUACCGCAUAAGACCACGGUACCGCAUGGUACAGUGGUAAAAACUCCGGUGGUAUGAGAUGGACCCGCGUCUGAUUAGGUAGUUGGUGGGGUAACGGCCUACCAAGCCGACGAUGGAUAGGGGUUCUGAGAGGAAGGUCCCCCACAUUGGUACUGAGACACGGACCAA